rnacentral:rRNA from 1 species
CAGCAGCCGCGGGAAUACGAAGGGUGCAAGCGUUAAUCGGAAUUACUGGGCGUAAAGCGUGCGUAGGCGGUUUGUUAAGUCUGUUGUGAAAUCCCCGGGCUCAACCUGGGAAUGGCAAUGGAUACUGGCAAGCUAGAGUGUGUCAGAGGAUGGUGGAAUUCCCGGUGUAGCGGUGAAAUGCGUAGAGAUCGGGAGGAACAUCAGUGGCGAAGGCGGCCAUCUGGGACAACACUGACGCUGAGGCACGAAAGCGUGGGGAGCAAACAGGAUUAGAUACCCCAGUAGUCCCUGUCUCUUAUAC